GAUGAAGAACGCAGCGAAAUGCGAUAAGUAGUGUGAAUUGCAGAAUUCAGUGAAUCAUCGAAUCUUUGAACGCACAUUGCGCCCCUUGGUAUUCCAUGGGGCAUGCCUGUUCGAGCGUCAUUUGUACCUUCAAGCUUUGCUUGGUGUUGGGUGUUUGUCCUGAGGGACUCGCCUUAAAGUAAUUGGCAGCCAGUGUUUGGUUUUGAAGCGCAGCACAAGUCGCGAUUCAAGGCUACACGCCCGCUUCCACAAGCCUUUUUUCACUUUUGACCUCGGAUCAGGUAGGGAUACCCGCUGAACUUAAGCAUAUCAAUAAGCGGAGA
rnacentral:misc_RNA from 1 species